GGAGGAGAAGGAACUAAAUAGGAUUCCCUCAGUAAUGGCGAAUGAACAGGGAUGAGCUCAGGCUGGAAGCCGAUACAUUUGUGUCGGGCUGUAGCCUGCAGGCAUAGCGCUAUCGGCGGCUCGAGCGCAAGCCUCUUGGAAUAGAGCGUGUGCCCGGGUGAGAAUCCUGCAUUUCGCUCGAUGUCCGCUGUCCACAGUGCUUGUCCUGAGAGUCACGCUCCUCGGAAUUGGAGCGUAAAUCAGGUGGUAAGUUUCAUCCAAAGCUAAAUAGAAGCUCGAGACCAAUAGCAAACAAGUACCAUGAGGGAAAGAUGAAAAGGACUUUGGAAAGAGAGUUAAAAGUGUUUGAAAUUGCUGAGAGCGAAGCGAACGGAGCCACAUGUCGUGCUGAGAUUGCUGUGGGUCUUUGUGAGCCUUGAGCAUGUAAGCGCAAGCUGACUGCUUAUGUGUGAGCAUUUGCCCGCAGUGUUUCUCAGCAUGCGAGUCAUUAGCCACAUUUGUUUGAGGAUGGCCUUCAGCUCACAUGGUACACUUGUUAGUGUUCCUCUGCGCGGUGUGGGACUCAGACAGGUGUGGCUUGUUGACCCAGUGGUUUUUUUCGACCCGUCUUGAAACACGACCAAGGAGUC
rnacentral:rRNA from 1 species